UGUGGGGGUGACGGGGAGCAGAGGGGAGGGGAUGGGAUGGGAUGGGGGGGGGGGGCAUCAAAGGCUGGCUGUAUAAAUGAAUAUUAAAAUUCAACGGCAGGGCAGCGCCCCUCCUGUGUGUGAUUAGCCAAGACAGGCAGAGACGAGGGGACAGAGAAGACGGGGAAACCGAAAGGUGUUGUUGGACAGGGAUACAAAGAAGAUGAUUGGGAAGGGAAGAGCAUAUAGCGAGUCAGAGAGUGAAUCUGGGAUGAUUAAUGCCGCUCCACAAAGCUGCUUGUGGAGUGCUGCGCACGAAUUAUCAUAAUCAUCAACAGCAGUGUAAGUGGCAGUACUGUGAGUCAUUUCAGCUCUCUCUCUCUCUCUCUCUCUCCAUCACGCUAAAGCACGGCCUGUUCGUAUGAUCCCUGCUGUAGCCGCUUGACAACUGCCAGUAUAUUUCCUUCUUCCUCCUCCUUUUUCUUUUUCCCAUUUGAUUGCAUAAUUUUUUACAGAGAAAGGCAAUUUUUUUUUUUUUUUUUUUUUUUUUGCGGUUCUUGUGAUCGUACCGACCGCAGCAGUGUUGUUCUGCGCGUUCAGGCCUGUGCCAAGCAGUUUUGUUUCAAAACGCCACCCACCAGCUGUCAAAGAAGCAAUAAUUACUCCCACAACACAACUUUGAAAAGAGAAGGGAAACAAAUGAAGGACUGAAUAGCGCUGUUUUCUUUCAUUUCCUCAGAAACCGUCUGAUAAAACAUGUCUGCCGUCAAAGCGAGGACGCCGAGGGCCUAGCGUAGCAUGGCGCUCGCUCCGACGUGUGUUGACCUUCCUGUCUUUUCCAAGCUCUGUUAAGAAAAAGUUUAAGCUCAUCAGCGCGUGACGGGAGAGAAAGUGCCUGGUCACCUUUUUCUCCUUUAACAGACUGAAAGAAAGAAUGAGCGAGAGAGGGAAAAAAGAGAGGAAGAGGAGAAGGAGAGGUGUUUGGCGAGUGCAACACACAACACAAGGGCAGCUGAGAGUGGAGGCCUGUGGGGGGCGAUAAAAGGAAGGAAAGAUGGACGAUGUGAGAAAAGAAGAGAGAAAGAGAGAGGGAAAUGUGGAGGAGGUGAUGAAUGUAAGAGAAGAAGCUGGAGUGAUGAAGAAUCCUCCCAUCUCCUGGGAGCAGGAGAAGAAGAAGAGGAUGAAGGCAGUGGGAAGCAUUAAACUGCAACUCUGUGUGGAAAACAUUCAACUCAGAUCAGAGAACAUCUUCCAACAGUGAAACAGUUUGAGAGGAGGACAAGGACAAACCAAAAUAGCCAGAUCAUAUUGUCAAAGAUCUUCAGGGAUCAUUUUGAACCAAGUUGUGAUCAGAGCAAAAUGCUUUGGGGAGAUUCCUUUCAUUAACCCUUCAUAGCAGAAGUGCUGCGUCACUUCCAGUGAUGUCACUGACCCUGGUCUACAAAAAUGCACAAAGUUUGUUUAUUUUCAGUCAAUUUUUGUUUUAAUAGUAUUUUAUAAAAUCUUUUACCGGAUUUUUUUUUUUAUCUUUAUUGUACUUUGUCGUUUUUGUAUGCCUGUCACUAUGGAUUAGUGAGGGGAAGAAACGCCAGAAAAUAUUUUUACAGAGCUAUAAGAAAGAAUAAACUGUGCUUCAUUUUUAUGAGGAACUCCAGCUAUGAGCACUGGUCAAGAGUCAGCCAAGUAAUCAUAAAAGUUUGAUGGUGAACUACUACCCCAACACUGAACUUCAUUUAUAUAUUUAUUUUGUAUUUUACAGAAUUAUCGUGUAUUUUGUCUCCUUUUCCAAUUAAUUUGGAGUUUUUUAGUAUCACAUCAGAGGCCUGAAAGUGAUGCCACACUCCUGUCUUCCAUAUCAAAAAUACAUCCACCCAAAGCUGUCCAGGAAAUGU